AAAGGGCGCGUAGGCGGCGGCCAAAGUCAGGCGUGAAAUUCCUGGGCUCAACCUGGGGGCUGCGCUUGAUACUUGGUUGCUUGAGUGGGGAAGAGGGUCGUGGAAUUCCCAGUGUAGAGGUGAAAUUCGUAGAUAUUGGGAAGAACACCGGUGGCGAAGGCGGCGACCUGGUCCUUGACUGACGCUGAGGCGCGAAAGCGUGGGGAGCAAACAGGAUUAGAUACCCGUGU
rnacentral:rRNA from 1 species